AUGUCAGCCAAUCCGGCACCGGACUCGUUAGCUAGGAUGAGGGCUGAUGCAGUGCCAAUUCCACAGUCUCAUGAGGAUUCGGAGGACGUAUUUGUCACGAACUCCGAGGUGGAGAGCGUAAUGAAUCACUGUCAGCUAAAAGAAGCCAUGCGCGCUCUAGCCUUUUCCGAGCAAGAAUUUACCGCACUUAGUUUGGUGGAUACAUAUAUCCGAGCCGCUCGAGAUGGACUUGGCCGAGUCACUCAACUGUUUUCAAACGAUAUACAGGUUCUCAAAGAGAAGAACACUGCGCUAGCCCAAGAGCUGAAAAGAAACCAAACGCAGCUGAAUGCCGUCGCCGCCGAACUGGGGAAAAUGAAAAAGGCCGCAAUGAACACAUCCAAGGGGAAAAACACGAGGAGGAAAAGACAAACAAGCCGAAGAGAUAGAGAGCUUAAAAGCUCGUUUAUCGGCCGCUCAAAAAGAAAAUAA
rnacentral:rRNA from 1 species